UACGUAGGGGGCGAGCGUUGUCCGGAUUUAUUGGGCGUAAAGAGCGUGUAGGCGGUUCGGUAAGUCUGUCGUGAAAUCCUGAGGCUCAACCUCGGACGUGCGAUGGAUACUGCCGGGCUAGAGGAUGGUAGAGGCGAGUGGAAUUCCCGGUGUAGCGGUGAAAUGCGCAGAUAUCAGGAGGAACACCAGUAGCGAAGGCGGCUCGCUGGGCCAUUCCUGACGCUGAGACGCGAAAGCUAGGGGAGCGAACAGG
rnacentral:rRNA from 1 species